rfam:Sphingomonadales bacterium RIFCSPHIGHO2_01_FTLL_65_20 rifcsphigho2_01_scaffold_43, whole genome shotgun sequence.
UGAUCAUGCCUUUCAGGCAUCCUCUCCUAAAAACUUUAUCGGGUCAGCCUUCGGGCUGGCCCUUUUUUUGUGUCUGG